rfam:Rattus norvegicus chromosome 7, whole genome shotgun sequence.
GGGGAUUUGGCUCAGUGGUAGAGCGCUUGCCUAGCAAGCACAAGGCCCUGGGUUCGGUCCCCAGCUCUA